rnacentral:rRNA from 1 species
GGCAGCAUAUGGAUUGCUUGCAUCCAUGAUGGCGACCGGCGCACGGGUGCGUAACGCGUAUGUAACUUGCCUUAUGCAGGAGGAUAACCCGAAGAAAUUCGGCCUAAUACUCCAUAAGUGUCAGAGAGGCAUCUUUCGGGCAUGAAAGAUUUAUCGGCAUAAGAUAGACAUGCGUGACAUUAGCUAGUCGGUGAGGUAACGGCUCACCGAGGCGACGAUGUCUAGGGGUUCUGAGAGGAAGGUCCCCCACACUGGUACUGAGACACGGACCAGACUCCUACGGGAGGCAGCAGUGAGGAAUAUUGGUCAAUGGACGGAAGUCUGAACCAGCCAUGCCGCGUGCAGGAUGACGGCUCUAUGAGUUGUAAACUGCUUUUGUACGAGAAUAAUAGUUCUUACGUGUAGGGAUUUGAAUGUAUCGUACGAAUAAGGAUCGGCUAACUCCGUGCCAGCAGCCGCGGUAAUACGGAGGAUUCGAGCGUUAUCCGGAUUUAUUGGGUUUAAAGGGUGCGUAGGCUGUCGGAUAAGUUAGAGGUCAAAUGUCGGGGCUUAACCCCGUGCCUGCCUCUGAUACUGUUCGACUGGAGAGCGGAUGCAGCAGGCGGAAUGAGUAGUGUAGCGGUGAAAUGCUUAGAUAUUACUCAGAACACCGAUUGCGCAGGCAGCUUGCUAAUCCGCAUCUGACGCUGAUGCACGAAAGCGUGGGUAGCGAACAGGAUUAGAUACCCUGGUAGUCCACGCAGUAAACGAUGAUAACUCGUUGUCGGCGAUAUACAGUCGGUGACCCAGCGAAAGCGAUAAGUUAUCCACCUGG